GAUGAACGCUGGCGGCGUGCCUAAUACAUGCAAGUCGAGCGAACAGACGAGGAGCUUGUUCCCCUGACGUUAGCGGCGGACGGGUGGGUAACACGUGGAUAACCUACCUAUUAUACUGGGAUAACUUCGGGAAACCGGAGCUAAUACCGGAUAAUAUAUUGAACCGUAGGGAUCAAUAGUGAAAGACGGUUUUGCUGUUUCUUAUAGAUGGAUCCGCGUCGCAUUAGCUAGUUGGUAAGGUAACGGCUUACCAAGGCAACGAUGCGUAGCCGAGCUGAGAGGGUGAUCGGCCACACUGGAACUGAGACACGGUCCAGACUCCUACGGGAGGCAGCAGUAGGGAAUCUUCCGCAAUGGGCGCAAGCCUGACGGAGCAACGCCCCGUGAGUGAUGAAGGUCUUCGGAUCUUAAAACUCUGUUAUUAGGGAAGAACAAAUGUGUAAGUAACUAUGCACGUCUUGACGGUACCUAAUCAGAAAGCCACGGCUAACUACGUG
rnacentral:rRNA from 1 species